rnacentral:rRNA from 1 species
GACGAACGCUGGCGGCGUGCCUAAUACAUGCAAGUCGAACGAACUCUGGUAUUGAUUGGUGCUUGCAUCAUGAUUUACAUUUGAGUGAGUGGCGAACUGGUGAGUAACACGUGGGAAACCUGCCCAGAAGCGGGGGAUAACACCUGGAAACAGAUGCUAAUACCGCAUAACAACUUGGACCGCAUGGUCCGAGUUUGAAAGAUGGCUUCGGCUAUCACUUUUGGAUGGUCCCGCGGCGUAUUAGCUAGAUGGUGGGGUAACGGCUCACCAUGGCAAUGAUACGUAGCCGACCUGAGAGGGUAAUCGGCCACAUUGGGACUGAGACACGGCCCAAACUCCUACGGGAGGCAGCAGUAGGGAAUCUUCCACAAUGGACGAAAGUCUGACGGAGCAACGCCGCGUGAGUGAAGAAGGGUUUCGGCUCGUAAAACUCUGUUGUUAAAGAAGAACAUAUCUGAGAGUAACUGUUCAGGUAUUGACGGUAUUUAACCAGAAAGCCACGGCUAACUACGUGCCAGCAGCCGCGGUAAUACGUAGGUGGCAAGCGUUGUCCGGAUUUAUUGGGCGUAAAGCGAGCGCAGGCGGUUUUUUAAGUCUGAUGUGAAAGCCUUCGGCUCAACCGAAGAAGUGCAUCGGAAACUGGGAAACUUGAGUGCAGAAGAGGACAGUGGAACUCCAUGUGUAGCGGUGAAAUGCGUAGAUAUAUGGAAGAACACCAGUGGCGAAGGCGGCUGUCUGGUCUGUAACUGACGCUGAGGCUCGAAAGUAUGGGUAGCAAACAGGAUUAGAUACCCUGGUAGUCCAUACCGUAAACGAUGAAUGCUAAGUGUUGGAGGGUUUCCGCCCUUCAGUGCUGCAGCUAACGCAUUAAGCAUUCCGCCUGGGGAGUACGGCCGCAAGGCUGAAACUCAAAGGAAUUGACGGGGGCCCGCACAAGCGGUGGAGCAUGUGGUUUAAUUCGAAGCUACGCGAAGAACCUUACCAGGUCUUGACAUACUAUGCAAAUCUAAGAGAUUAGACGUUCCCUUCGGGGACAUGGAUACAGGUGGUGCAUGGUUGUCGUCAGCUCGUGUCGUGAGAUGUUGGGUUAAGUCCUGCAACGAGCGCAACCCUUAUUAUCAGUUGCCAGCAUUAAGUUGGGCACUCUGGUGAGACUGCCGGUGACAAACCGGAGGAAGGUGGGGAUGACGUCAAAUCAUCAUGCCCCUUAUGACCUGGGCUACACACGUGCUACAAUGGAUGGUACAACGAGUUGCGAACUCGCGAGAGUAAGCUAAUCUCUUAAAGCCAUUCUCAGUUCGGAUUGUAGGCUGCAACUCGCCUACAUGAAGUCGGAAUCGCUAGUAAUCGCGGAUCAGCAUGCCGCGGUGAAUACGUUCCCGGGCCUUGUACACACCGCCCGUCACACCAUGAGAGUUUGUAACACCCAAAGUCGGUGGGGUAACCUUUUAGGAACCAGCCGCCUAAGGUGGGACAGAUGAUUAGGGUGAAG